UAUCAAUAAGCGGAGGAAAAGAAACCAACAGGGAUUGCCCCAGUAACGGCGAGUGAAGCGGCAAUAGCUCGAAUUUGAAAUCUGGCCUAGGCCCGAGUUGUAAUCUGUAGAGGAUGCUUUUGGCGCGGUGCCUUCCGAGUUCCCUGGAACGGGACGCCACAGAGGGUGAGAGCCCCGUAUGGUCGGACACCAAGCCUCUGUAAAGCUCCUUCGACGAGUCGAGUAGCUUGGGAAUGCUGCUCUAAAUGGGAGGUAAACUUCUUCUAAAGCUAAAUACCGGCUAGAGACCGAUAGCGCACAAGUAGAGUGAUCGAAAGAUGAAAAGCACUUUGAAAAGAGGGUUAAACAGUACGUGAAAUUGUUGAAAGGGAAGCGCUUGUGACCAGACUUGCGCCGGGCUGAUCAUCCAGCGGUCUCCGCUGGUGCACUCGGUCCGGCUCAGGCCAGCGUCGGUUGUCGCGGGGGGAUAAAAGCCUAGGGAAUGUAGCUCCUUCCGGGGAGUGUUAUAGCCCUCCGCAGAAUAUCCCCGCGGCGACCGAGGUCCGCGCCCUGCAAGGACGCUGGCGUAAUGGUCAUCAGCGACCCGUCUUGAAACACGGACCAAGGAGUCGAGGUUUUGCGC
rnacentral:rRNA from 1 species